CCAAUAGCGUAUAUUAAAGUUGUUGCAGUUAAAAAGCUCGUAGUUGAAUUUCGGGGUUCAUACGUUGGUCGGGCUUUUUUGGUCUGUACUGGCGUAAUGGAUUCCUACCUUCUGAAUAACCGGCAUGUCAUUAAUUUGGUGCGCCGGGGAAGCAGGACUGUUACCUUGAAAAAAUUAGAGUGCUUAAAGCAGGCUAUCGCCUGAAUACAUUAGCAUGGAAUAAUGAAAUAGGACGGCAUGGUUCUAUUUUGUUGGUUUCUAGGAUCACCGUAAUGAUUAAUAGGGAUAGUUGGGGGCAUUAGUAUUCAAUUGUCAGAGGUGAAAUUCUUGGAUUUAUUGAAGACUAACUUCUGCGAAAGCAUUUGCCAAGGAUGUUUUCAUUAAUCAAGAACGAAAGUUAGGGGAUCGAAGACGAUCAGAUACCGUCGUAGUCUUAACCAUAAACUAUGCCGACUAGGGAUCGGACGAUGUUAAUUUUUUAAUGACUCGUUCGGCGCCUUACG
rnacentral:rRNA from 1 species